CCCCUGCAUGCACCUGCAUCCCAGAUAUGCACCUUCUGAUGGAAAAGGCUCCCCGGACUCCAGCGCUUGCCCAGCUCCCGCGCCCCCUCACGUCCUCGGCCCCCUUUGCUCAUGCUAGGGCUUGCCUAUCAAUCUGCAAUCCUGACUCCUCACACCCCAUGCCCCCAGCUACCCAGCAUCCUAGGGAGGGAGGUGGGCACAGAUAGGAUUUUUUAAAAAUGAUGAUAACAACUAUAAUAUACGCAUAGCCCCACCCACCCGAGACCUACCACGCGCCUGGUGCCGUCUUACAUUUCAGCUUGGUUAGCCAUCCCAGCACCCCUGGGCGGCAGGGAGUACCAUCUCCCAUUCUACAGAUGAGGAGACUGAGGCGCUCCACACAGGGAAGUGGUAGGGCUGCGAUUCGAACCCCGGCCAUCUGUGCAAUGUGGACAUUCACUGCGGGGGGCCCCCUCCCCCCCAGGGGUCCAUGUUGCACAGCGAGUGGUGCAGGGGCUGUAACAGGAGAGCACAGCGCUUUAGAGUUUGUCAAAGGUCUGCAGGGUCAUCUCCUGCGAUCCUCCCUGCCACCUCCUGGGACAGGCGUUCUUGUUUUCUCCCUUUGGUCAGAAUGGGAAACUGAGGCACAAAAUUGGGGAACAGGGAGGACCGAGUCCUGGGCUCGGAGAAGAGAUGGGCUCUACCUGCCAGGAAAGCUGGACUCUGCUCUGGGAGCAGGCUGACCGCAGCGAUGCCCCUGUGUUCCCCAGCCCGGCGUCAUGAGUGUCUGAAAUGAGGAAAUGUCCACUGCCCCGGAUCCGCUGAAGGGAGCGUGUGUGUCCAGAUGAGGAAACUGAGUUCACUGAAGUUACACGAUACACACACGGUUGGACAACUGGUAAGUGCUGGUCCUAGGGCUUGAACCCAGGCCGAUGAGGUUCCCAGGACCUGCCAAGUACAUGUGGCAAAACACAAAAUACAGGCCUGCCCCGCAAGCACUCAGUAACUGUCAUUCUUAAGCUCCCUCCCAGUGCCCAGCGUAGCAACAGAACCUCAGGCUCGGCAGACGUGGAUUCGGGUAUUUAUUCUAAGAAAUCCAUCUUCUUACAUGAGCGGUGGGCAGCAGGCUCUAGGGCUCCGGUAGCCAGCCCCCUCCCUUCAGGCAGCUAAAGCGACAGCACCCCCAGAGCGGACCAUAGA